AGACCCGAAACCCGGUGAUCUAGCCAUGGGCAGGUUGAAGGUUGGGUAACACUAACUGGAGGACCGAACCGACUAAUGUUGAAAAAUUAGCGGAUGACCUGUGGCUGGGGGUGAAAGGCCAAUCAAACCGGGAGAUAGCUGGUUCUCCCCGAAAGCUAUUUAGGUAGCGCCUCGUGAAUUCAUCUCCGGGGGUAGAGCACUGUUUCGGCUAGGGGGCCAUCCCGGCUUACCAACCCGAUGCAAACUGCGAAUACCGGAGAAUGUUAUCACGGGAGACACACGGCGGGUGCUAACGUCCGUCGUGAAGAGGGAAACAACCCAGACCGCCAGCUAAGGUCCCAAAGUCAUGGUUAAGUGGGAAACGAUGUGGGAAGGCCCAGACAGCCAGGAUGUUGGCUUAGAAGCAGCCAUCAUUUAAAGAAAGCGUAAUAGCUCACUGGUCGAGUCGGCCUGCGCGGAAGAUGUAACGGGGCUAAACCAUGCACCGAAGCUGCGGCAGCGACACUGUGUGUUGUUGGGUAGGGGAGCGUUCUGUAAGCCUGUGAAGGUGUGUCGUGAGGCAUGCUGGAGGUAUCAGAAGUGCGAAUGCUGACAUAAGUAACGAUAAAGCGGGUGAAAAGCCCGCUCGCCGGAAGACCAAGGGUUCCUGUCCAACGUUAAUCGGGGCAGGGUGAGUCGACCCCUAAGGCGAGGCCGAAAGGCGUAGUCGAUGGGAAACGGGUUAAUAUUCCCGUACUUGGUGUUACUGCGAAGGGGGGACGGAGAAGGCUAUGUUGGCCGGGCGACGGUUGUCCCGGUUUAAGCGUGUAGGUGUGUGUUCCAGGUAAAUCCGGUUCACUUUAACACUGAGGCGUGACGACGAGGCACUACGGUGCUGAAGCAACAAAUGCCCUGCUUCCAGGAAAAGCCUCUAAGCAUCAGGUAACAUCAAAUCGUACCCCAAACCGACACAGGUGGUCAGGUAGAGAAUACCAAGGCGCUUGAGAGAACUCGGGUGAAGGAACUAGGCAAAAUGGUGCCGUAACUUCGGGAGAAGGCACGCUGACACGUAGGUGAAGUGAUUUACUCAUGGAGCUGAAGUCAGUCGAAGAUACCAGCUGGCUGCAACUGUUUAUUAAAAACACAGCACUGUGCAAACACGAAAGUGGACGUAUACGGUGUGACGCCUGCCCGGUGCCGGAAGGUUAAUUGAUGGGGUCAGCGCAAGCGAAGCUCCUGAUCGAAGCCCCGGUAAACGGCGGCCGUAACUAUAACGGUCCUAAGGUAGCGAAAUUCCUUGUCGGGUAAGUUCCGACCUGCACGAAUGGCGUAAUGAUGGCCAGGCUGUCUCCACCCGAGACUCAGUGAAAUUGAACUCGCUGUGAAGAUGCAGUGUACCCGCGGCAAGACGGAAAGACCCCGUGAACCUUUACUAUAGCUUGACACUGAACAUUGAGCCUUGAUGUGUAGGAUAGGUGGGAGGCUUUGAAGUGUGGACGCCAGUCUGCAUGGAGCCGA
rnacentral:rRNA from 1 species